GUCAGCUUGAGUCACUUCAUUGAUGACAGCAGUAUGAUAAUUACUUUUGAACAAUUCUGAGCAGAGUCACAUGCUCAAUAAUAAAACAAACACUGUAUAAACUGUUUGCUCUGACUUUUCUAAAGAGAAUUUUUUAUUGCACUUGGAAGAUGCCAGAGUGCCAUACAUUUAUCUUAUUUAUACAGCUGAGCAGUGGAGGGUUAAGGGCCCAAGAGUGGCAGCACUGGGAUUUGAACUCAAAACCUUCCAAUCAGUAUUCUGACAUCUUAUCCAUUGAUCCACCCCUGCCCUGGAAUUAUCCAACAUCUUACACACUGAUCCACCCCUGCCCUGGAAUUACCCAACAUCUUAUCCACUGAUCUACCCCUGCCCUGGAGUCAACCAACAUCUUAUCCACUGAUCUACCCCUGCCCUACAGUCACCAACAUCUUAUCCACUGAUGCAGCCCUGCCCUGGAGUCACCCAACAUCUUAUGCACGGAUCUACCCCUGCCCUGGAGUCAACAAACAUCUUAUCCACUGAUCCACCCCUGGCCUGGAAUUACCCAACAUCUUAUCCACUGAUCCACCCCUGCCCUGGAUCACCCAACAUCUUAUGCACGGAUCUACCCCUGCCCUGGAGUCAACAAACAUCUUAUCCACUGAUCCACCCCUGGCCUGGAAUUACCCAACAUCUUAUCCACUGAUCCACCCCUGCCCUGGAGUCACCAACAUCUUAUCCACUGAUCUACCCCUGCCCUGGAGCCAACCGACAUCUUAUCCACUGAUCCACCCCUGGCCUGGAGCCAACCAACAUCUUAUCCACUGAUCCACCCCUGCCCUGGAUCAACCAACAUCUUAUCCACUGAUCCAUCCUUGCCCUGGAAUCACCCAACAUCUUAUCCACGGUUCCACCCCUGCCCUACAGUCACCAACAUCUUAUUCACUGAUCCACCCCUGCCCUGGAGUCACCAACAUCUUAUUCACUGAUCCACCCCUGCCCUGGAGUCAACCAACAUCUUAUCCACUGAUCCAUCCCUGUCCUGGAAUCUCCCAACAUCUUAUCCACUGAUCCAUCCCUGUCCUGGAAUCUCCCAACAUCUUAUCCACGGUUCCAUCCCUGCCCUGGAGUCAGCAGCAUCUUAUACACUGGUCUACCCCUGCCCUGGAGUCAACCAACAUCUUAUCCACUGAUCUACCCCUGCCCUGGAAUCACCCAACAUCUUAUCCAUGGUUCCACCCCUGCCCUGGAGUCAACCAACAUCUUAUCCACGGAUCUACCCCUGCCCUGGAGCCAACCAACAUCUUAUCCACUGAUCCACCCCUGCCCUGGAGCCAACCAACAUCUUAUCCACUGAUCCACCCCUGCCCUGGAGUCACCAACAUCUUAUCCACUGAUCCACCCCUGCCCUGGAGCCAACCAACAUCUUAUCCACUGAUCUACCCCUGCCCUGGAUCAACCAACAUCUUAUCCACUGAUCUACCCCUGCCCUG
ensembl:lncRNA